UACAGAGGUCUCAAGCGUUGUUCGGAUUCAUUGGGCGUAAAGGGUGCGUAGGCGGUCGCGGUAAGUCGGGUGUGAAAUCUUGGAGCUUAACUCCGAAACUGCAUUCGAUACUGCCGUGCUUGAGGACUGGAGAGGAGACUGGAAUUUACGGUGUAGCGGUGAAAUGCGUAGAUAUCGUAAGGAAGACCAGUGGCGAAGGCGGGUCUCUGGACAGUUCCUGACGCUGAGGCACGAAGGCCAGGGGGAGCAAACGGGG
rnacentral:rRNA from 1 species